rnacentral:rRNA from 1 species
CAAGUCCGGUGCCAGCAGCCGCGGUAACACCGGCGGCCCGAGUGGUGACCACUUUUAUUGGGCCUAAAGCGUCCGUAGCCGGUCCAGUAAGUCCCUGUUUAAAUCCUACGGCUUAACCGUAGGGCUGGCAGGGAUACUGCUGGACUUGGGACCGGGAGAGGGCGAGGGUACUUCAGGGGUAGCGGUGAAAUGUGUUGAUCCCUGGAGGACCACCUAUGGCGAAGGCACUCGCCUGGAACGGGUCCGACGGUGAGGGACGAA